rnacentral:rRNA from 1 species
CUAAACCAUGCACCGAAGCUGCGGCAGCGACACUCAGGUGUUGUUGGGUAGGGGAGCGUUCUGUAAGCCUGUGAAGGUGGCCUGUGAGGGUUGCUGGAGGUAUCAGAAGUGCGAAUGCUGACAUAAGUAACGAUAAAGCGGGUGAAAAGCCCGCUCGCCGGAAGACCAAGGGUUCCUGUCCAACGUUAAUCGGGGCAGGGUGAGUCGACCCCUAAGGCGAGGCCGAAAGGCGUAGUCGAUGGGAAACGGGUUAAUAUUCCCGUACUUGGUGUUACUGCGAAGGGGGGACGGAGAAGGCUAUGUUGGCCGGGCGACGGUUGUCCCGGUUUAAGCGUGUAGGUGUGUGUUCCAGGUAAAUCCGGUUCACUUUAACACUGAGGCGUGACGACGAGGCACUACGGUGCUGAAGCAACAAAUGCCCUGCUUCCAGGAAAAGCCUCUAAGCAUCAGGUAACAUCAAAUCGUACCCCAAACCGACACAGGUGGUCAGGUAGAGAAUACCAAGGCGCUUGAGAGAACUCGGGUGAAGGAACUAGGCAAAAUGGUGCCGUAACUUCGGGAGAAGGCACGCUGACACGUAGGUGAAGUGAUUUACUCAUGGAGCUGAAGUCAGUCGAAGAUACCAGCUGGCUGCAACUGUUUAUUAAAAACACAGCACUGUGCAAACACGAAAGUGGACGUAUACGGUGUGACGCCUGCCCGGUGCCGGAAGGUUAAUUGAUGGGGUCAGCGCAAGCGAAGCUCCUGAUCGAAGCCCCGGUAAACGGCGGCCGUAACUAUAACGGUCCUAAGGUAGCGAAAUUCCUUGUCGGGUAAGUUCCGACCUGCACGAAUGGCGUAAUGAUGGCCAGGCUGUCUCCACCCGAGACUCAGUGAAAUUGAACUCGCUGUGAAGAUGCAGUGUACCCGCGGCAAGACGGAAAGACCCCGUGAACCUUUACUAUAGCUUGACACUGAACAUUGAGCCUUGAUGUGUAG